CCUUCGAUAGCUCAGUUGGUAGAGCGGGGAACUGUAGAUUUAUAAUUGUGAUCCCUAGGUCGCUGGUUCGAAUCCGGCUCGAAGGA
rfam:Nematostella vectensis strain CH2 x CH6 NEMVEscaffold_605_Cont30727, whole genome shotgun sequence.